AAGGUGCUUGCACCUCUUGAGAGCGGCGGACGGGUGAGUAAUGCCUAGGAAUCUGCCUGGUAGUGGGGGAUAACGCUCGGAAACGGACGCUAAUACCGCAUACGUCCUACGGGAGAAAGCAGGGGACCUUCGGGCCUUGCGCUAUCAGAUGAGCCUAGGUCGGAUUAGCUAGUUGGUGAGGUAAUGGCUCACCAAGGCGACGAUCCGUAACUGGUCUGAGAGGAUGAUCAGUCACACUGGAACUGAGACACGGUCCAGACUCCUACGGGAGGCAGCAGUGGGGAAUAUUGGACAAUGGGCGAAAGCCUGAUCCAGCCAUGCCGCGUGUGUGAAGAAGGUCUUCGGAUUGUAAAGCACUUUAAGUUGGGAGGAAGGGCAUUAACCUAAUACGUUAGUGUUUUGACGUUACCGACAGAAUAAGCACCGGCUAACUCUGUGCCAGCAGCCGCGGUAAUACAGAGGGUGCAAGCGUUAAUCGGAAUUACUGGGCGUAAAGCGCGCGUAGGUGGUUCGUUAAGUUGGAUGUGAAAGCCCCGGGCUCAACCUGGGAACUGCAUUCAAAACUGUCGAGCUAGAGUAUGGUAGAGGGUGGUGGAAUUUCC
rnacentral:rRNA from 1 species